rnacentral:rRNA from 1 species
GACGAACGCUGGCGGCGUGCCUAAUACAUGCAAGUCGACCUUAUUGGCGAAUGGGUGCGUCACGCGUGGGUAACCUGCCAUUCAGAAGGGUAUAACAUUUGGAAACACGUGCUAACCCCCUAUACUGAUGGAUGUACCUGCGGUGCAUUAGUUGGUUGGUGAGGUAACGGCUCACCAAGGCAACGAUCCCUAGCCGACCUGAGAGGGUGAUCGGCCACAUUGGGACUGAGACACGGCCCAGACUCCUACGGGAGGCAGCAGUAGGGAAUCUUCGGCAAUGGACGAAAGUCUGACGGAGCAACGCCGCGUGAAUGAAGAAGGUUUUCGGGUCGUAAAGCUCUGUUGUUAGGGAGGCGGUAUCUGACCAGGAAGCCACGGCUAACUACGUGCCAGCAGCCGCGGUAAUUC